rnacentral:rRNA from 1 species
GAUGAACGCUGGCGGCGUGCCUAAUACAUGCAAGUCGAGCGAACAGACGAGGAGCUUGCUCCACUGUCAUUAGCGGCGGACGGGUGAGUAACACGUGGAUAACCUACCUAUAAGACUGGGAUAACUUCGGGAAACCGGAGCUAAUACCGGAUAAUAUCUUGAACCGCAUGGUUUAAUAGUGAAAGACGGUUUUGCUGUACCUUAUAGUUGGAUCCGCGCCGCAUUAGCUAGUUGGUAAGGUAACGGCUUACCAAGGCAACGAUACGUAGCCGACCUGAGAGGGUGAUCGGCCACACUGGAACUGAGACACGGUCCAGACUCCUACGGGAGGCAGCAGUAGGGAAUCUUCCGCAAUGGGCGAAAGCCUGACGGAGCAACGCCGCGUGAGUGAUGAAGGUCUUCGGAUCGUAAAACUCUGUUAUUAGGGAAGAACGAUGGUGUAAGUAACUAUGCACGUCUUGACGGUACCUAAUCAGAAAGGCACGGCUAACUACGUG